UACGUAGGUGACAAGCGUUGUCCGGAUUUAUUGGGCGUAAAGCGAGCGCAGGCGGUCUUUUAAGUCUGAUGUGAAAUCUCGGGGCUCAACCCCGAGCGGUCAUUGGAAACUGGGAGACUUGAGUACAGAAGAGGAAAGUGGAAUUCCACGUGUAGCGGUGAAAUGCGUAGAUAUUCGGAGGAACACCAGUGGCGAAGGCGGCUCGCUGGUCUGUAAUUGACGCUGAGGCUCGAAAGCGUGGGGAGCAAACAGG
rnacentral:misc_RNA from 1 species